rnacentral:rRNA from 1 species
AGUGAACGCUGGCGGUAGGCCUAACACAUGCAAGUCGAACGGCAGCACAGUAAGAGCUUGCUCUUACGGGUGGCGAGUGGCGGACGGGUGAGGAAUACAUCGGAAUCUACUUUUUCGUGGGGGAUAACGUAGGGAAACUUACGCUAAUACCGCAUACGACCUACGGGUGAAAGCAGGGGAUCUUCGGACCUUGCGCGAUUGAAUGAGCCGAUGUCGGAUCAGCUAGUUGGCGGGGUAAAGGCCCACCAAGGCGACGAUCCGUAGCUGGUCCGAGAGGAUGAUCAGCCACACUGGAACUGAGACACGGUCCAGACUCCUACGGGAGGCAGCAGUGGGGAAUAUUGGACAAUGGGCGCAAGCCUGAUCCAGCCAUACCGCGUGGGUGAAGAAGGCCUUCGGGUUGUAAAGCCCUUUUGUUGGGAAAGAAAAGCGGCAGGUUAAUACCCCGCUGUUCUGACGGUACCCAAAGAAUAAGCACCGGCUAACUUCGUG